AAUCUCAAAGUAGUUUUCAACGGCCAAGCGGUAUGAGUGUUGAAAGCAUUUUCAACAUUAUUGUGAUCACAAUGCUGGCAGCGGCAGCAACUAAACCUCCGAAGUGCAAUCCGUUAAGUUGUUUACAUCUGGUAUAACUAAACAAAUAAAUGCCGUUACAAUUUUG